rfam:Trichobilharzia regenti genome assembly, scaffold: TRE_scaffold0000204
GUACUGUCGACGAGUCCCAAACUAGGACGAAACGGCUGUCCAGUAC